AACAGCUUGCAGAGUAACAUCACUUGCGGACACGGAUUCCGAUGAAGCGCUGCGACGCCAGAUUCCAUAAAUUUGACGUCUAUUGAUUCCUUCUUCGGAUCAGAAUGAUUGUAUUCCUGAAUUAAUUUAUAUUUUUGUAACACUGAACUGGAAAGAAAUAAGUAAAGAAUAACCC